GGGCCCGUAGCUCAAUGGUAGAGCAUUCGACUCAAUUACAAAAUAUCGCUGGUUCGAAUCCCAGGUCUG
rnacentral:tRNA from 1 species